GACGAACGCUGGCGGCGUGCUUAACACAUGCAAGUCGAACGGAAAGGCCCUGCUUUUGUGGGGUGCUCGAGUGGCGAACGGGUGAGUAACACGUGAGUAACCUGCCCUUGACUUUGGGAUAACUUCAGGAAACUGGGGCUAAUACCGGAUAGGAGCUCCUGCUGCAUGGUGGGGGUUGGAAAGUUUCGGCGGUUGGGGAUGGACUCGCGGCUUAUCAGCGUGUUGGUGGGGUAGUGGCUUACCAAGGCUUGGACGGGUAGCCGGCCUGAGAGGGUGACCGGCCACAUUGGGACGGAGAUACGGCCCAGACUCAUACGGGAGGCAGCAGUGGGGAAUAGUGCACAAUGGGAGGAAGCCUGAUGCAGCAACGCCGCGUGCGGGAUGACGGCCUUCGGGUUGUAAACCGCUUUCGCCUGUGACGAAGCGUGAGUGACGGUAAUGGGUAAAGAAGCACCGGCUAACUACGUG
rnacentral:rRNA from 1 species